UUGCCUUUGCAAUGUUCCUGAGUUUGAACUUGCUGGGUGCUACGGAUUCGACGUUUCGGUUCAUGGCUCUCCUGUCAUUCGCCUACGCUCUGCAAGGCCUACACUUCCUCGUAUGCGGUAUUCUCUCUCCAACGUUAUCAGCAGCACUAACGAAGUCCUUCUACUAUCUGUCCUUCCACUGUGCAGCGGGCGUACUCUAUUUCUUCUCGAGCAUAUCUGCCAUCUGUGCCUUGCGGUUCAGUGUCAUCCAGUGUGCCCAUGGGGUUACCAGUGGCCUGAUGGCGCUUGCCCUAUCCCUCAUCCACCUUGCACAUUUUCUCAUGUGCAUCCUUGGCGGUGACGUUCCACACAGCAAAGCCGCUUUCGCGGAGAAGCUGUUCAAGAACUUUAGCGGGCUUGACCUCGGUGGUUUUACGUUCGGCUACUUUUAAUCUACUGCUUGUGCUUGCAGACAGCAGUCCCAGCAUUAACGGCCCUAGCUAUUAUCGGACGUUCUAAUAAAUAUUCCUAAUGUGCUAAUACGUGCCAAUAAAGAAAAUUCCCUUCUUCUA